GACGAACGCUGGCGGCGUGCUUAACACAUGCAAGUCGAACGGUAAGGCCCUUCGGGGUACACGAGUGGCGAACGGGUGAGUAACACGUGGGUGAUCUGCCCUGCACUUCGGGAUAAGCCUGGGAAACUGGGUCUAAUACCGGAUAGGACCAUGGACUUCACGGUUUGUGGUGGAAAGCUUUUGCGGUGUGGGAUGGGCCCGCGGCCUAUCAGCUUGUUGGUGGGGUAAUGGCCUACCAAGGCGACGACGGGUAGCCGGCCUGAGAGGGUGUCCGGCCACACUGGGACUGAGAUACGGCCCAGACUCCUACGGGAGGCAGCAGUGGGGAAUAUUGCACAAUGGGCGCAAGCCUGAUGCAGCGACGCCGCGUGAGGGAUGACGGCCUCGGGUUGUAAACCUACUUUCAAUAGGGACGAAGCGACAAGUGACGGUACCGUAUAGAAGAAGCGACCGGCC
rnacentral:rRNA from 1 species